rnacentral:rRNA from 1 species
GGUACCGUCAAGACCCAUGGGGUAUUAACCCCGAGUUUUUCUUUCCCAAUAAAAGUGCUUUACAACCCGCAGGCCUUCUUCACACACGCGGCAUUGCUGGAUCAGGCUUGCGCCCAUUGUCCAAUAUUCCCCA